UAAUAUGUAGGUGACUGCUCCCCACCUUAAUAACCUCAGUAAGUAUGUGUUGGAGCCCAGGAAUCUGUAUUUUACCAACACUCCAGGUGAUUCUGAAUAU
rnacentral:miRNA from 1 species